CAGGUGCCCACCACCACGCCCGGUUAAUUUUUUGUAUUUUUUUUUAGUAGAGAUGGGUUUUCACCAUGUUAGCCAGGAUGGUCUUGAUCUCCUGACCUCGUGAUCCACCUGCCUCGGCCUCCCAAAGUGCUGGGAUUACAGGCGUAAGCCACAACACCCAGCCUCCCAGGGAGAUCAUUCUUAAACAAAGGCCCAAGUAGGGCUCCUUCCCCAAAGCCCCAGUUGCUUCCUUCUGUGGCCCAACUAAGCUCAAGUUCAUAAGACACUCCUCCAGCUCCUCAGAGAUCUGGCCUUCACCUGCUUUUGUAGCCUCAUGCUCACUUCAUCCUCAAGCUUCAGCUCGAUGUAACCCGGGUCUAAGUCCUGUUCUCUGUUCCUUCCCUGGCUGCCCCAAUUCUUCAAGGCAUGGUGCAAAGAGUGGGCUGUUUUCCUGAUGUCCCAACACCAACUUGGUCCCUCUUUUGUGUUCCUGGAGAAUGUUGAUGGUCUUUUUGUUGGUUACUGAAUUUAUGCUUACAAAAAUGUUGUGGCUUUCUCCUCAGCAGAGGGACCCUGUAUAGCAGGUGGAUAGUUUGUAAAAAGCAGAGUUUGGGAUUGAUUUGGAUGUCACUCUUGGCUUUUCCACCUACACUGUCUGUGGCCUUCUUCAAGGGCUUUAACCUCUUCCAGGCUGCAAAUCCUUGUUGGGAUAUGGGGGUAGUGGCUCCUGUUGUAAGGAUUCAUUUUUGUAUUUACAUGCCCCCAGCACCACUAGACCAUGGGAUCUUGAGGCAGAGUCUGGAUUUGAUUAAACUCCUGGUGCUUAUUUAUUCCCACAGAACUUGUCCUGCUCACAUAUGCCAGCUAGAAAGGGAACUGGAGACUGAUGAACCUAUGGCGGGGCCAUGGCAUUUGGCUACCUUGCUCCUGCUACCUCUGCCAGUGGGUCCCAAGUCUGGCAUAUUCUUGCCCACUUCUGCAAUGACCUCUUUGUGAAUCCAGGUCUCUGUGGGGGCACAGGGUGUCACAAGGUAGAUGACCUACCCGCUACAGCUCCACCAAGCAUGCUGUUCCAUGCUCUCUUUCGUCUGACUUUGCAUGUUCUCUCAUUGUUCUUGUCUUAGCCUGAGGGUAGACCUCUGGCCUCUUCAGACAUGAUCCCAGCACCUGCUUCUUCAAUCCAGAACCUCCCCUGGGCCUUGGAGUUGAGCAGGUUGUCCCAGUUCUUCCUUUGUGUUGGGCUCCCUUGUGGUUCUCUUUCCUGCCAGGGGACCUUUUGUGACCACCUUAGUUUACAAGAGAGGUUCCAAUAGCAUUGACUCUUCAAAAGGAAUGUGUGGGAAUUUCUGGUCUCCUUGUCUCUUGGCGAAUGAGCAUCUCUCCCAAGCCUUGUCUCUACAGAGGAGGGGUACUUGGAGAGACAACCUUUGUGAUGUCACCAAAUAGUCCUGUUAUAUUUUUUCUUCCAGGGACACAUGUAUAUUACAAAGAGGCGCCACAAAAGUCACCAUUUGUAGAACAAAGAGGAUUAGCUUCAAGCUCUUUCUGAAUCCAUCUAGACCAGGAAGCAAGGCCACUUUUUCAGAGGGAGUCUCUUUUUUCAAGAUCUACUGCAGGAUUUCUCAAAGUUUAAAGCACUUAUGAAUUGCCUGGGUAUCUUGCUAAAAUUCAGUAGUUCUGGGGAGGGGCCUGAGAUAUCCCACAUGUUUAACAAGCUUCUGGGUGACAACCUUGGUGCCUGUCCUUGGACUAAGCUUCAGAAACUAGGGUCUGGCUACGCAAUCAGACACCUGGCCAAAUCUGUAUCCCCAACACUUAGUAUUAGUCACCUGGUAAACAGUGGACAAUGGGUAAAUUGUUAUUGGGUGGAUUAAAUCAUUAAUUCAUCCUAAUUGUAAUGUUCAUGUCCAUGUGUUCUCAUUGUUCGGCUCCCACUUAUGAAUGAGAACAUGUGGUGUUUGGUUUUCUGUUCCUGUGUUAAUUUGCUGAGGAUAAUGGCUUCCAGCUUCAUCCAUGUCCCUGCAAAGGACAUGAUCUCAUUCCUUUUUAUGGCUGCAUAGUAUUCCAUGGCCUUGCACCUCUUUAUAAGGUCACUAAUCCUGUUCACGAGGACUCUGCCCUCAUGACUUAAUCAGCACCUAAAGGUAACAUCUCAUUUUUAAAAAUUUUUAAAUUUAUUUUUAUUUUUAUAUUUCAAUAGUUUUUGUAUAGGUGGCUUUCAGUUACAUGAAUAAAUUAUUUAGUGAUGAUUUCUGAGAUUUCGGUGCACUUGUCACCCAAGCAGUGUACACACUGUACCCAAAGUAAUAACUGGAUGUCUUAUUGAGAAAUUAAUGGUGUAGUGAAUUUCCCCCUUUUGCUUUGUAAUAGACUCCUCCCAACCCCACCUCUAGCCCUAAAAACCUCUACAAUAGUUCUCCACCACCCCGAAUCACAAAGCACCAUUUUCCUUUUCCUGAAAGUAAGAGGAAGACUUCAUGUCUUUGGGGGAUUGCUCUCCCUUUUCCCAGGGUGGAACUGACCCAUGGGUGGAGGCUCAGCUCUUUCCUGGUUGGGGUGGGAGUGGAAGCUGAUUUUCCAGAGGAGAGAAGGACACAGGCUCAACACUGGAAAAGGAGCGUUGAACUUCCUGAGCCACAACGAUGAAUAUGGGAGGGUGGGAUGAGGGAGAUGCCGAGGCAGUAAGACCUUGAGAUGGGAUACAGUGGGAAGGUUCUGGGUGGACUGAGCCUACUUGUGCUGUGGUGUGGGCUCUGGUU
rnacentral:lncRNA from 1 species